CACACUCUCCUCUCCUCACAACCUCCAGCAAUGAAGACGCUGGUCACUCUGAUGCUCGUCUACAUGCUUUUCUCUGAAGCUUUACAGGCUUCUGCAGCUCUGAAGUGUUGCAAGGGUUUUGGGCCAGCAUGUUUCCCUGUGGAGUGUUCUUCAUAUGAAAAACUCUGCAUGACCAAAGCCGAGGGAUUAAUGAACACACUGAAAUUACCAGAAAAAAAAUGUGCAACCGCGGGUGAGUGUUCACAGCCAGGAAAUCAGGAAAUGUGCUGUGACACUGACAUGUGUAACGGCGCUGAGGGGGUUAAGCUGAGUCUCCUCAUCAUGCUGGCUCCUCUGAUCUCCUCCGUCUUCUUCAUCUGAUCUCUCUGCUGCUCCUCUCUCAGUGAUUCAUCUCUUACUGGAGGAACUGAAAUAUUGUAAAUAUAGUGUCUGGAAAUAAUUAGAUAGUUUUCCUACAUUUAAUUUCUCAGCUGUACUUUCAGAUCAAAUAUGAUGAAUGUUAUAGAUUAGAAUAGAUUGUACUGUAACAUCUGUGUAUCAAUAAAUGUGAUGACCAAGAGGGGUGUAAUGCAGUUUUAUGUGGCCUUAGAGCUGAAUAAAUAAAGUAACUUUCAUCUGAAAGUGGGCUUUAAUUAGCAAA